CUUUUAUUUUGAAACAGGAAACUGGCACAAAACCAGUAAAGGGCUUGUUAGUAACGUUUGUUUUAGGAUACGAUAAAUAGUGCGCCUUAAAGUGAAAAAUAUGUACGUUUCCUUUGCCAAUUAGUACCUGGCUGACAGUGGCACAAGGUCAGACGAUGGAGACUGCCCACAGUUUAAUGAGGACUCACCCCAGACUGCGGUUUGAAGCAGAAGGAGGGCCAGCAGGAGCUGCAGUCCACAAACAGGCAGUAAGCCCUGCAUCCUGCUGCACCUGGAGACAGAGAUGAAGAGAAAGGGAGGGAAUGAUCCAGGGACGAAUGGGAUACAGUAAAUCCAGGAUGUUGGCUGCAGGUUGUAAAGACUCCUCAGUUAAUCAAUGUCAGCGGAGCAGCGGCAGUAAAUCAUGCUGAGGCAAAGGCCAAGGAGCUGCCCUGCUCCUGGCUGUCUUGGAAUAAAGUGGCUACCUGCUGGGGCUACCAGCAGCCCUCCACGUCCAGGCAUGACAACCAAUUUCAGAACAUGUGAGUGGAUGUGAAAGAGCGGGACACUGAGCAUGCAGCAGAACACAGAUUUAACCCAUGAGCUGCAUAAAGCAGAACCAGCCUUUUGAAUGUGAACCAGUCGCAGCAGAGCAUCGAUACAACCCCUUCCCCCAUCCCUUGAGAAAGGAACAAAGAGGCCAGACUACAUCAGGACAGGCUUUGAUCAGUUCAGUUCUAUCACGUUUCUAUCAGUAAUUGACAGACUUUGGAUUCCAAAAGCUUCCCGUGCAACCUGCAAAAUUUAAGCAUGGAAAUACUUUAUGCCCUCCAAUAUAUAAAAGUGCCAUUGUAUUUCUCUUACACAACAGGUGGUUGUUAUGUUAUGUCCUGUGCCAUAACUUUAAAGAAUAUGUAUUUUUUUUAAAGUGUACCAUGCUGUCAUUUGUGUUGCUUUUUCAUUUUGCAUGCAACGCAUGAAGAGUUUCAGGCUAGGUAAAAGGCUGUGCUGCAGCACUAAACACUCCUUUUCCAAUUUCCCAAAAGGCCUUAUCACCUGAGUUAGUGUAAUGAAACUGAUUAGUACCUGCAGCCUAACACUUGACCGGGAAAAUUAGAGCCAGCCAUGAAGUGCUUAUUCAUCUCCGCUGAAUACACCUUCAGA